UUUUCAUAAUUAUGUUCUUCUUGGUUCACUAUAUCUGGAACAGGAGGCAAAGCUGACCUGUUACUAACUGAGGAGCUGGAUCUGAAUAAUCUACUCAUCUUGACUGUUUCAAAAAUUAAAAUCUUACUCAAGGUUCAUUCAUGCAUACCCCGUUUACCCAAAGUAGACUCAUACCUAUGUUCUAUAACCCGACACUGCUCACACCCUGGAGACUUACAAAGGUUAGACACGAACUAGGUGGACUACAGGUAAGUAAGGUGACUUCAGAACUUUGAUGAAGAUGAUAAAUUUUGAAAGAG
rnacentral:lncRNA from 1 species